CAGCGUUAAAAUAGUAAUAUUUUUAUUAUUAUGCAUAAGUGUGGGUGGUGUUAAGGGGGAUUUUAUCAUUAUUUCCUCUCUAGUGCAGAUAAAUAGGGAACGUUAACCCUUUCACCACCACAACUACGUCACGCAUACUCUUGAAGUAGGGUGCGUUUGUGACAGACAGUAGGGAGAUUUUAACCAUUCUUAUACUAAGAUAGGGGUCAUAUUGACCCCAUAAAGUAAG